rnacentral:rRNA from 1 species
UACGAAGGGGGCUAGCGUUGUUCGGAAUUACUGGGCGUAAAGAGCUCGUAGGCGGUCUGUCACGUCGGCUGUGAAAACCCGAGGCUCAACCUCGGGCCUGCAGUCGAUACGGGCAAACUAGAGUACUGCAGGGGAGACUGGAAUUCCUGGUGUAGCGGUGAAAUGCGCAGAUAUCAGGAGGAACACCGGUGGCGAAGGCGGGUCUCUGGGCAGUAACUGACGCUGAGGAGCGAAAGCGUGGGGAGCGAACAGG